UACAGAGGGUGCGAGCGUUACUCGGAAUUACUGGGCGUAAAGCGUGCGUAGACGGUUAUUUAAGUCGGGUGUGAAAGCCCCGGGCUCAACCUGGGAAUUGCAUUCGAGACUGAAUAGCUAGGGUACGGUAGAGGGAAGCGGAAUUUCCGGUGUAGCGGUGAAAUGCGUAGAUAUCGGAAGGAACAUCAGUGGCGAAAGCGGCUUCCUGGACCAGUACCGACGUUCAGGCACGAAAGCGUGGGGAGCAAACAGG
rnacentral:rRNA from 1 species